rnacentral:rRNA from 1 species
AGCAGUCGCCGCGGUAAUACAGAGGGUGCAAGCGUUAAUCGGAUUUACUGGGCGUAAAGCGUGCGUAGGCGGCUUCUUAAGUCGGAUGUGAAAUCCCUGAGCUUAACUUAGGAAUUGCAUUCGAUACUGGGAAGCUAGAGUAUGGGAGAGGAUGGUAGAAUUCCAGGUGUAGCGGUGAAAUGCGUAGAGAUCUGGAGGAAUACCGAUGGCGAAGGCAGCCAUCUGGCCUAAUACUGACGCUGAGGUACGAAAGCAUGGGGAGCAAACAGGAUUAGAUACCCCCGUAGUCCCUGUCUAUUAUAC